rnacentral:lncRNA from 1 species
GCACAGGGUGUCGGUGCCUGGGAGCCUAGAGAGCAAGCCACUGCUCUGAGGUACCUGCUGCUUAUCCUGGUUUUCAUCUGGUUCAUUCUCUCCUGUUUUCAGUGCAAAUGAUGGCCUGCCUUUGCUGCCUCCCAGCUGUAUGUCUGAUAGAGAAUGAGAAACCUACUGGUUUCAAGAAGGACUGGAGCUGUGCUACUUGAGAGUGGUGUUCUACUUCAUUUUCGAGCAAAAAUAAUAGCUGUUGGAAACAGAAAGACAAAAACCAAGCAUGCUGAGUCAGAUGCGGGUCACUGUCUCCUGAAAUGCAGCUGUCAGGAGCUGGUUUCCAGGUUUGGAAAAGAAACAUUGCUGGGGAGGAAUCCAAUGAAUUUAUUAAUGAGCUGGUGAAAAGCUGCUGAAGGACAGCUGGAUAUUUGGUGCCAACUGGAAAUUCCUGAUUUCAGAGAACAGCCCUGGUUCAGGAAAGAAACCAGCCAAGAAGCUCUACUAUAAAUUAAAAUGUGAGCUCCUAGAAACCAUUUCCUGAUGGGACUCAGGUACUUUACCUUUGCCAUUCCUGUAAAACAUCAGCUGCAUACAUCAGACUGAUGGCGUCAGGUGGUUUUCCAUAAAAAUCCUGUCUGUGCUGUGCUUCAUUUGCUUUAUUUUUGCUCUAACCCAAGAAACAAGUCAGCAGCUUCAAGAGUCAGCUGACACUGAGUCCUUUCCCAGCAAAGCCUACUGUUAACCAUGUGCAGCUCCAGCCAUAUUUGUAGGUAAUUUCAUUCUGUUUUUU